rnacentral:tRNA from 1 species
GAAGAUGUAAGUUAAUUUAAACUUUAUGGUUCAUGUUCAUAUAAUAUAUCUUGUUGAUGUCGUCUUCU